GCAUUAGUGGUGUAAUGGUUAACAUGUGGUCUUCCCAUUUACGAGUGGCCGCGUUCGGGGUUCGAUUCCCCGCUAAUGCA